rnacentral:rRNA from 1 species
AGUGAACGCUGGCGGUAGGCCUAACACAUGCAAGUCGAACGGCAGCACAGUAAGAGCUUGCUCUUACGGGUGGCGAGUGGCGGACGGGUGAGGAAUACAUCGGAAUCUACUUUUUCGUGGGGGAUAACGUAGGGAAGCUUACGCUAAUACCGCAUACGACCUACGGGUGAAAGCAGGGGAUCUUCGGACCUUGCGCGAUUGAAUGAGCCGAUGUCGGAUUAGCUAGUUGGCGGGGUAAAGGCCCACCAAGGCGACGAUCCGUAGCUGGUCUGAGAGGAUGAUCAGCCACACUGGAACUGAGACACGGUCCAGACUCCUACGGGAGGCAGCAGUGGGGAAUAUUGGGCAAUGGGCGCAAGCCUGAUCCAGCCAUACCGCGUGGGUGAAGAAGGCCUUCGGGUUGUAAAGCCCUUUUGUUGGGAAAGAAAAGCAGCAGGUUAAUACCCCGCUGUUCUGACGGUACCCAAAGAAUAAGCACCGGCUAACUUCGUG